UACAGAGGGGGCAAGCGUUAUUCGGAAUUAUUGGGCGUAAAGGGCGCGUAGGCGGCUUUGCAAGUGGCGGGUGAAAUCCCUCGGCUUAACCGAGGAACUGCCUGUCAAACUGCAUGGCUUGAGACCAGGAGAGGUGAGUGGAAUUCCCAGUGUAGCGGUGAAAUGCGUAGAUAUUGGGAGGAACACCCGUGGCGAAGGCGACUCUUUGGUCUGUAACUGACGCUGAGGCGCGAAAGCGUGGGGAGCAAACAGG
rnacentral:rRNA from 1 species